GACGAACGCUGGCGGCGUGCUUAACACAUGCAAGUCGAACGGAAAGGCCCUGCGCUUGUGGGGCGCUCGAGUGGCGCACGGGUGAGAAAAACGCGUGUAACCUGCACCUGUCUUAGGGAUAUCUUCUGGAAACUGGGGCUAUAAUCGGAUAGGAGCUCCUGCUGCGCGGUGGGGGUUGGAAAGUUUCGGCGGUGUGGGCUGGUUUCGCGGGUUAUCCGCCUCUUGGUGGGGUUGUGGCUUACCAAGGCUUCGAAUGGUAGCCGGCCUUGGAGGGGGACCGGGCACAUUGGGACUGAGGGACGGACCAGUCUCCUACGGGAGGCAGCGGUGGGGAGUAUUGCAGAAUGGGCGGAAGCCUGAGGCAGAAACGCCGCGUGCGUGAUACCGGCCUUCGGGUGGUGAACCGCUUUCUCCGGUGACAAAGCGUGAGUGACGGUAAUGGGUAAAGAAGCACCGGCUAACUACGUG
rnacentral:rRNA from 1 species